CUUGAGUCAAGAGUGACGGGCGAUUUGUGCAUGCUUGAUUUCAUUUUUCAAUUUAAAAUUCUAUUAAUUCACUUUAAUUCUAAGUCCUUUUUCAAUAUUCUUCUAUUUAUGUCUAUUAUUUUUAUUAAUUUGUAUCCCAUUACCUCCUUUAAUAUAAUUUCUGUCUUGAUUUGUAUUAUUAUUAAAAUUAUUUUAAAAUAAAAUCUUUAGAUUCUAAUUUCAUACAAUGAUAUAGAGAAUAAAAAGUAAAGUAUGAUUUUAUCGUGGGCUGUCUAUUACAUUACAGGAUCCCCUAUGUUGGUCUAGCACCGCCAUUUUGUUUAAAUUUUGUUUAUUUAAUUACUUCUUUUUUCUUUUUUAAGA
rnacentral:rRNA from 1 species